AAUAAGUGCAGUUUUACACUAUUUACGUUCAACGUUUGACCGUCCAUCUUAUUUGAAAAUUUUUUAUGAUUAGUAUUUUUAUUGCUAUUAGAUGAUAAAACAUAAAUAGUACUUUAUGUGUGACUAAAUGUUUUUAAUUUUUUCACAAAAUUUUCAAAUAAGAUGGACGGUCAAACGUUGAACGUGAAUAGUGUAAAACUGUACUUAUU
rnacentral:pre_miRNA from 1 species